GAGUCCUUUAUUGAAUUAUAAUACGGAAUACCAAUUACAAAUACAGAUACACAAUCUCCUUACAUUCUGGCCCCAUAAUCAAACUAUUGUUCCGCGAGCACCACCGCAUCACCCGUACUCCGCCGCGCCACCUUGGAGAAGACCACCGCUCGCCGCCGCACACAACCCUACCGCCGAAGAGCACCUAAGUGCCACCAUCUGCGCCUAUCGACGCCACAGCCGCAUCCCAACCGCCGCAGCGCCACCGUCUGCCGCCGCAAACCAGAUUUCAGCGCCGCCGCCGUGACUCCUUUCCUAUAAAUCGCAACCCACAAAUUCCUUGCCUUUUGAUUCAGGUUGGUGAGCUUUUUGAGGAUGACUUGAUUUGUGGAUUUUUGCUUUGCUUGUUAAACUAAGGUAAUCUGGGAUAAUAUGGGUUUCAGUGAGGAGCGUUAGGAAGUUGCUGACCAAGAUUCUUUAUUUCAGUAACGUAAUAAAAUGUAAUUAAGAUCUUUUAUUUAAUGUUAUGGAUUGGUUUUUAGUUUUGAUAUCUGUAAGAGUGACACGUCAGCCCUAUUCGGGUCGGGGUGU